GGGUAAAUGAUGACAACCCAAUAUCAUGAAAGAGAAGAUAACAUAAAAUUCAGGCUCAAUAGAAUUACACUGAGGCAC